AGUAGUCAUGUGCUUAUAGUCACGCAGAAUCAAUGGAAGGAGAUUAAUUUCUGUUUGUAAGCUAUAGGGAUUUCCUGGGUUUCUUCUUCAAGGGUGUUUGGAGUUUCCGCAUGAGAGCACCCUCUGACCUUCAGCUGAUCACACAUCAUGCUUCCAAUAGCGUUUGGUUUUUCUCUCAGCUCUGUCAGUCAGAGUGGUUGAGCUCAAGCAACGUCAAAUGAAAAGCAAAUGAGAAGCGUCAUGAAGCGGGCGGGGCACACUCAAAAAAAUGAACUUUCCUUAUUGUUAGUUUUACUAUACCCAUCCUUGUUCACAUUACAUAAAACAUAUUAGUAAUUAAAUUAACACAAGUAAACUAUGUUAUUUCUACAAAAAUGUAGUGCUGUAGACUUUACUUAAUAAGGGUUUGACUGGCCAACUUAACAUUGUGGAGUAAAACGCAAAACCCUCUUAAGUUUGGAUAUUUGUGGAUACCGUAGCUGCUUACCUAGAGGUGGAGCACCAGAGCAGAACAGAAGACAAACGAACGCGGGAAGCACAUUGAGGAGGAGAAGAUGGUGGCUUUGUCAGAUUGCUGCUGAAUUCAGUCGAAUCACUACUGUCCCACUAAUUCAAACAUUUAUGUCAAAACAAGAUGGUUACACCAGCAAGCUGGCCAGCAUCUACCAUAAAAGGAGGAAUUGCAGGGUGUAAAAUUUGGAAACUGAUGGCUACCAUCGACAAGUAUGAUACCAUCUGAACUUGCAUUCUCAGAGCAUGUUCUGUGUAUCUUAAUGAAGACUAUGAAACCUCAUGUAUACAGACACAGACUUUGAAAACUCUAAGACAUGGGCAAUAUUGUCAUUGGAAUCUACAUCAUCAGACCUGAAGGUGCAGAAGCCUGUGACCCACCAUCAGAUGUUGGACUGAUUUUUGAGGGAGUAAAUGUGCUUCAGAACCUUGGCGAAGUCACCUAGGCUUGUGCUCUUUCUUUGAGAGUCAUAUACAGCUUCAAUCUCAGUUAUCCUUCAGACCUGAAAUACACUUUUGAGUUUUUCCAGAAAGUGUUGCUGGGACUUGAUGCACAUAAACUGUUACUCAUAAUACAAGUUCUUAAGAACAAACCUGUUGGUUGAAUCAGUACAUCAUUCUGGACAAAUGAAAGAAAUAAAGGAAGAAGCUUUUUUUGUGACAUUUAAA